rfam:Trichobilharzia regenti genome assembly, scaffold: TRE_scaffold0002951
AUCCGACUGAUGAGUCCCGAAUAGGAAGAAAUGUGCAUCCUGGAU